rnacentral:rRNA from 1 species
GUAGGGGGCAAGCGUUGUCCGGAAUUAUUGGGCGUAAAGCGCGCGCAGGCGGUCUCUUAAGUCCGAUGUGAAAGCCCACGGCUCAACCGUGGAGGGUCAUUGGAAACUGGGGGACUUGAGUGUAGGAGAGGAAAGUGGAAUUCCACGUGUAGCGGUGAAAUGCGUAGAUAUGUGGAGGAACACCAGUGGCGAAGGCGACUUUCUGGCCUACAACUGACGCUGAGGUGCGAAAGCGUGGGGGAGCAAACAGGAUUAGAUACCCUGGUAGUCCACGCCGUAAACGAUGAGUGCUAGGUGUUAGGGGUUUCGAUGCCCUUAGUGCCGAAGUUAACACAUUAAGCACUCCGCCUGGGAGUACGACCGCAAAGGUUG